CAUAUCAAUAAGCGGAGGAAAAGAAACCAACAGGGAUUGCCCUAGUAACGGCGAGUGAAGCGGCAACAGCUCAAAUUUGAAAUCUGGCCUUCGGGUCCGAAUUGUAAUUUGUAGAGGAUGCUUUUGGUGAGGUGCCUUCCGAGUUCCCUGGAACGGGACGCCAUAGAGGGUGAGAGCCCCGUCUGGUUGGACACCGAUCCUCUGUAAAGCUCCUUCGACGAGUCGAGUAGUUUGGGAAUGCUGCUCUAAAUGGGAGGUAUAUGUCUUCUAAAGCUAAAUAUUGGCCAGAGACCGAUAGCGCACAAGUAGAGUGAUCGAAAGAUGAAAAGCACUUUGAAAAGAGAGUUAAAAAGUACGUGAAAUUGUUGAAAGGGAAGCGCUCAUGACCAGACUUGGGCUUGGUUGAUCAUCCAGGGUUCUCCCUGGUGCACUCUUCCAGCUCAGGCCAGCAUCAGUUCGCUGUGGGGGAUAAAGGCUUCGGGAAUGUGGCUCCUCCGGGAGUGUUAUAGCCCGUUGUGUAAUACCCUGUGGUGGACUGAGGUUCGCGCAUCUGCAAGGAUGCUGGCGUAAUGGUCAUCAGCGACCCGUCUUGAAACACGGACCAAGGAGUCGUCUUCGUAUGCGAGUGUUCGGGUGUUAAACCCCUACGCGUAAUGAAAGUGAACGCAGGUGAGAGCUUCGGCGCAUCAUCGACCGAUCCUGAUGUUCUCGGAUGGAUUUGAGUAAGAGCAUACGGGGCCGGACCCGAAAGAAGGUGAACUAUGCCUGUAUAGGGUGAAGCCAGAGGAAACUCUGGUGGAGGCUCGCAGCGGUUCUGACGUGCAAAUCGAUCGUCAAAUAUGGGCAUGGGGGCGAAAGACUAAUCG
rnacentral:rRNA from 1 species